CCGUUCUUGUGUUAUUUGCUGGACGUUUUCAUAGUCCAGCGAUUGUCAAACAGAACGCAUAUCAAAGCAACUAAUCACUCCAUAAUGAUGGGUCUAUUUACCAGGACCUCCUCAUUACUAAAUGUUUGCUACACUC